rnacentral:rRNA from 1 species
CCUACGGGCGGCAGCAGUGGGGAAUAUUGGACAAUGGGGGCAACCCUGAUCCAGCCAUGCCGCGUGUGUGAAGAAGGCCCUCGGGUUGUAAAGCACUUUCAGUGAGGAAGAACGCCUGGUGGUUAAUACCCAUCAGGAAAGACAUCACUCACAGAAGAAGCACCGGCUAACUCCGUGCCAGCAGCCGCGGUAAUACGGAGGGUGCGAGCGUUAAUCGGAAUUACUGGGCGUAAAGCGCGCGUAGGUGGCUUGAUAAGCCGGUUGUGAAAGCCCCGGGCUCAACCUGGGAACGGCAUCCGGAACUGGCAAGCUAGAGUGCAGGAGAGGAAGGUAGAAUUCCCGGUGUAGCGGUGAAAUGCGUAGAGAUCGGGAGGAAUACCAGUGGCGAAGGCGGCCUUCUGGACUGACACUGACACUGAGGUGCGAAAGCGUGGGUAGCAAACAGGAUUAGAUACCCGAGUAGUC